rnacentral:misc_RNA from 1 species
UCUCCGUAGGUGAACCUGCGGAGGGAUCAUUACAAGUGACCCCGGUCUUACCACCGGGAUGUUCAUAACCCUUUGUUGUCCGACUCUGUUGCCUCCGGGGCGACCCUGCCUUCGGGCGGGGGCUCCGGGUGGACACUUCAAACUCUUGCGUAACCUUGCAGUCUGAGUAAACUUAAUUAAUAAAUUAAAACUUUUAACAACGGAUCUCUUGGUUCUG